UCUCUCACUCUCUCCCCGGAUCUUUGCUCCUGAUUCUCCUCUUUCCCCCCCUCUCUCCCAAUCUUCGUCCCAUUAAUUCCUCUGUACUUUUAGCAAGAAUCUCCUUAUCCAAAAUUCAUUUACCCCUAACGAGCGUAGAAAUUUCAAGGGCCUGAAAGAUUCGGUACUUUCAAAAAAAAGCCUCAACCGCUUUCUUCUAAUUGCGGUGCCUUCAGUGGAUUUCAGACCAGAACGCUCAGAUCAAGCUCUAGAAAUCGGGUACGUGACCUGAGGCUUUGAGCCCUAUACGCGGGUUUCCAGUUUCGACAAGUGGGGCCCACCAAUCGGGCAUGGUACUUGCAAGCAGCAAUUAAGGCAGAUUGAUUUGGAUAUGCAUAGAUUCAGCUACAUCUCAAGAAAAGGGUUCGAAGCAUUUCAAGACAGAUUGAAGCUCUGCGUCUUGGACAUUGGCUUGACCAUUCAGGUUUCUACUAUCAUGCUUUGUAUCAAGACCUGACCUUGAAUUAGGAGCACUUUGGACAAAUUCAUUCGCAGGCAAUGAAAGCUGCUGUGAAAAGAGGCAGGCUGAAGCAGCUUGGAUUAGAGAAAUAUCCCGAUAGGAUUCCAGUAAGAACUUUCUUGGUUUUUUAUUAUGCAGUUUACUUCUUUGAAUUACCAUUCCCCUUUUCUAUGAGAUUCUUAUCUAAGUCUUUGUGCAAUUUAGGUGAUUGUGGAAAGGGCUGAAAAGAGUGACAUACCAGACAUUGAUUAAAAGAAGUCGAUGGCUUUUCCUUACUAGUUCUUACUUUUUUGUCUUUAUUUCAAUAUGGUUGAGUAUGUUUCUUUUCAUUUUGUCUUUUCCUUACUAGUUUUUACUUUUUUGGCCUGAUUUCAAUAUGGUUGAGUCUGUUUCUUUUCAUUUCUUUAUCAGUUAAAUCUUUGUUUCCACUUUUUUUUCUUUUCUUUUCUUUCUUUUCUUUUCUGCCCUUAUUAUGAAAUUAAGGAACCUUAGUGUUUUAGCUGUGAGACUUCCUGCAAUGUGUUUUUUUACCUAAGAAAUGUUCUCUCUAUAAGAGAGAGACCUUCCUCGCAGGUGAUGCGAGUCCUUUGAGAGAGGGCCUUGACAUUCUUGCUUCGACGACAGUCGUUGAAGCCACAUGGCAAACAUCUUUCAUUAGGUAGACCAUGGCACCAAACCAUGGUCGUUGUGCUACAUUUUCAAGAAAAUCAGGAACUUAUAUCUUUAUUGAACAUUUUUGUUUUAUUAUGUAAGAAAAGGUUCUAAUGAUUUGGUGGUGGCCCCAGCGUCCACAGGCAUCAGCCAAUCAGCCCUUUGGACUUCUGUUCCCUAUGCUUUUCUUUAAUUUGGU